rnacentral:rRNA from 1 species
UACGUAGGGUGCAAGCGUUGUCCGGAAUCAUUGGGCGUAAAGCGCGCGUAGGUGGCCAUUUAAGUCCGCUGUGAAAGUCAAAGGCUCAACCUUUGAAAGCCGGUGGAUACUGGAUGGCUAGAGUACGGAAGAGGCGAGUGGAAUUCCUGGUGUAGCGGUGGAAUGCGCAGAUAUCAGGAGGAACACCAAUAGCGAAGGCAGCUCGCUGGGACGUUACUGACGCUGAGACGCGAAAGCGUGGGGAGCGAACAGG